GUUGUGCAUGAUCGUUUUUUUUGGGUGCUUAAUAUGGAUCUAAUGAUUGGGCAAAAAACUCUCCAUUGUUACAGAUAAGCCCCAUGGUGUUGACACUAUAAAUACAGAAACACAAAAAGUGGUACGGUUAUUUCAAAGGUGACUUUGCUUGCUUCUGGAGUCAAUUGCGAUCUGCUUUUUUGGGCGAGAGGAAUGAAAUCAGUCUUUCCAAUGUUCCUGGUAGUCACUUUUCAUAUCCAAGAGAAAUAGUAGUUGAUAGGCAGGCAUCUAUUCUUAAAAUUAGUAAAGUAGUGGAAACAAGAAGUUAUGUUUAUAACAUGUAUCUACCUGAUCUGUAACUGUGUAUUUUACAACUGAACAUUUUCUAACCCCCGUAAAACGGGGGUCCUUGCCUAGUUUAUAUUAAGUUAUACA